rnacentral:rRNA from 1 species
UACGGGGGGGGCAAGCGUUGUUCGGAAUUACUGGGCGUAAAGGGCUCGUAGGCGGCCAACUAAGUCAGACGUGAAAUCCCUCGGCUUAACCGGGGAACUGCGUCUGAUACUGGAUGGCUUGAGUUCGGUAGGGGAGACUGGAAUUCCUGGCGUAGCGGUGAAAUGCGCAGAUAUCAGGAGGAACACCGGUGGCGAAGGCGGGUCUCUGGGCCGAUACUGACGCUGAGGAGCGAAAGCGUGGGGAGCGAACAGG